GGUUGUAUGGAGUAGUUGGUUAACUUAGGAGAUUCUGAUCUAGCAUGUCCUUGAGGCAUGAUGAUUCGAUUCGACUUCUCUUGCCCUGGGUUCGAAUCCCAGUACGACCU
rnacentral:tRNA from 1 species